UACGGAGGGUGCAAGCGUUGUCCGGAUUCAUUGGGUUUAAAGGGAGCGCAGGCGGGACAUUAAGUCAGGGGUGAAAGACGGUUGCUCAACAAUCGCAGUGCCUUUGAUACUGGUGUUCUUGGGUGACCUUGAGGUAGGCGGAAUGGGUGGUGUAGCGGUGAAAUGCAUAGAUACCACCCAGAACUCCGAUUGCGAAGGCAGCCUACUGGAGGUUUACCGACGCUCAGGCACGAAAGCGUGGGGAUCAAACAGG
rnacentral:rRNA from 1 species